CUAAGGGCACACGGUGGAUGCCUUGGCACUUCGAGGCGAUGAAGGACGUGGCAAGCUGCGAUAAGCUGCGGUGAGGAGCAAGCAUCCUUUGACCCGCAGAUUUCCGAAUGGGGGAACCCACAUGAGCAAAACUCAUGUACCGUUAUCUGAAUCAAUAGGGUAACGGAGCGAACCCGGGGAAGUGAACCAUCUCAGUACCCGGAGGGAGAGGAAAACAAUAGUGAUUCCGCUAGUAGCGGCGAGCGAACGCGGAACAGCCUAAACCAAGAGGGCAUGCCUUCUUGGGGUCGUGGGAUCGAAGUUAGGAGUUACAAAGGCUCAGGUUAGCGGAACGGCUUGGAAAGGCCGACCAUAGAACGUGAUAGUCGUGUACGCGAAAACUUAGAGCUCUCCGUUAUGCUUUGACACCCGAGUAAUGCGGGACACGAGGAAUCUUGCAUGAAUUUGCCGGGACCAUCCGGUAAGGCUAAAUACUCCGAAGUGACCGAUAGUGAACCAGUACCGUGAGGGAAAGGUGAAAAGAACCCCGGUGAGGGGAGUGAAAUAGUACCUGAAACCGUGUGCUUACAAGCAGUGGGAGGUCAAGGUUCGUCCUGACUGACCGCGUGCCUUUUGCAUAAUGAGCCGGCUAGUGAAUGUCACAGGCAAGGUUAAACGAUAAGUGAGCCGAAGCGAAAGCGAGUCCUAAUAGGGCGUUCAGUCUGUGGUAUUCGGACGUGAAGCGAGAUGAUCUAUGCAUGGCCAGGCUGAAGCGUGGGUAACACCACGUGGAGGGCCGAACCAGUUAAGGUUGAAAACUUUUUGGAUGAGCUGUGCAUAGGGGUGAAAGGCUAAUCAAAUUUCGUGAUAGCUCGUUCUCGCCGAAAUAGCUUUAGGGCUAGCCUCGGAUGAAUCGUCACGGUGGUAGAGCACUGAAUGGGCUAGGGGCCUCACAAGGUUACUGAACCCAAUCAAACUUCGAAUGCCGUGCACGCAUAUCCGGGAGUCAGACUACGGGGGCUAAGCUCCGUGGUCGAGAGGGAAAGAGCCCAGACCGACAACUAAGGUCCCCAAAUCGUGGUUAAGUGGAAAAGGAAGUAGGGAAGCACUGACAGCCAGGAGGUUGGCUUAGAAGCAGCCAUCCUUUAAAGAAAGCGUAAUAGCUCACUGGUCAAGCAGCCCUGCGCCGACAAUAUAACGGGGCUUAAACCACGUACCGAAGUUUCGGAUUGUGGAGGUCUUCGGAUCUCUAUGAUGGUAGGCGAGCAUUCCGUAGCUGUGAAGCGGGACCGAAAGGACCGUUGGAGCGAUCGGAAAAGACUCUGUCGGCAUAAGUAGCGAUAACGCGGGUGAGAACCCCGCGCGCCGUAAACCUAAGGUUUCCUGAGUAAAGUUAAUCUGCUCAGGGUUAGUCGGUACCUAAGGCGAGGCCGAAAGGCGUAGUCGAUGGAAAUCCGGUUAAUAUUCCGGAACCGCUAACGUGUGCUGUGGGAGGACGCAGUAGGGUAGGCGAGACGGCCGAUGGACGUGCCGUUGAACUCAUCAUAGCCCGUCACUUUGGAAAAUCCGGGUGACACAAGGGUAAAGGUAGGGACGAAAGUAGGGGUAAAACCCGAAAAAAGUCGUUGACCCCAGCUGCCAGGAAAAUUCUCGUUCAGCUAUACACGCGAUGCGACCGUACCGCAAACCGACACAGGUAGGUGGGGUGAGAAUCCUAAGGCGCUUGUGAGAACUCUCGUUCAGGAACUCGGCAAAAUGUACCCGUAACUUCGGGAGAAGGGUAGCCCACCUCAGACGUGGGUCGCAGAGAAAUGUCCCAGGCGACUGUUUACUAAAAACACAGGUCUCCGCAAAGUCGUGAAGACGACGUAUGGGGGCUGACGCCUGCCCAAUGCUGGAAGGUUAAAAGGAGUGGUCAGCCGUAAGGCGAAGCUACGAAUUGAAGCCCCAGUGAAUGGCGGCCGUAACUAUGAACAGGACACCGCGCACCUCAAGUGAGCGGAAUUGUAGUUCCGAAAACGAAACUUGGCUAAAUGCUGGAACAUCCGGUUAGUAUCCGACGCUACUCGCUUCGAUCAUGAGGCAGUAACAAUGCGUUCGGUGCGGACAAUCAGCAGGAAAGGCUAGCGCAAGCUAGAAUCCUCAGAGACUACACGCCAAGCAUCACGUUCUCGUGAUGAUGAUAUAGUCCGAUCUUCAUGGCGACAUGAAGGACAAGCGAAGAUCUCUCUUCGUGAAUCGCGACUGAAUCCUCAAGAUUCAAAUCGUUAACACAAAUGAACGGUCCUAAGGUAGCGAAAUUCCUUGUCGGGUAAGUUCCGACCUGCACGAAUGGCGUAACGAUCUGGGAGCUGUCUUAACGAGAGACACAGCGAACUUGUAGUACCGGUGAAGAUGCCGGUUUCCCGCAUCUAGACGGAAAGACCCCGUGCACCUUUACUACAACUUGAUAGUGGGUUCGGGCAAACGAUGCGCAGCAUAGAUGGGAGGCUUUGAACCGAGGCUUUUGGGCUUCGGGGAGCCACAGGUGAGAUACCAUCCUUCGUUUGUCUGGACUCUAACCUCGAGCCGUAAUCCGGUUCAGGGACACUAUCAGGCGGGUAGUUUGACUGGGGCGGUCGCCUCCCAAAUUGUAACGGAGGCGCUCGAAGGUUGGCUCAGGCUGUUUGGAAAUCAGCCGCAGAGUGUAAACGCAUAAGCCAGCUUGACUGUGAGACAAACAAGUCGAACAGGUACGAAAGUAGGAGUUAGUGAUCCGGCGGUUCUGUAUGGAAGGGCCGUCGCUCAACGGAUAAAAGGUACGCCGGGGAUAACAGGCUGAUCCUGCCCAAGAGUUCACAUCGACGGCAGGGUUUGGCACCUCGAUGUCGGCUCAUCGCAUCCUGGGGCUGAAGAAGGUCCCAAGGGUCCGGCUGUUCGCCGGUUAAAGCGGUACGUGAGCUGGGUUUAGAACGUCGCGAGACAGUUCGGUCCCUAUCUGGUGUGGGCGCAGCAGGAUUGAGGGAAUCUGUCCUUAGUACGAGAGGACCGGGAUGGAUCCACCUCUAGUGUACGAGUUAUGGCGCCAGCCGUAACGCUCGGUAGCUAAGUGGAGCAUGGAUAAACGCUGAAUGCAUCUAAGCGUGAAGCCAGACCCGAGAUUAAUCCUGCCCGUGAGACUCGUGGUAGACCACCACGUUGAUAGGCUGGAAAUGUAAGUGCAGUAAUGUGCUCAGUUGACCAGUACUAAUCAGUCCCUAGGCUUGACC
rnacentral:rRNA from 1 species